AUGAUCUGCAAAACGUUAGAGUGUGUUGUCAGAAUGAAGAAGGCUUUGCAGGAUGCAAAGAAUCUGGAUGAUUCGUGGAUAAAAGAAGAAAGUGACACUAUCGAACUUAUUGAUUUGAGUAACAGAAUGUUAUUGUUACAAAAAGUAGUUCAUCGAAUUGAUUUGAAUUGUAUUCAUUAUAUAAAUGAUUAUAAUUAUUUUCUUAAAAAUAUUUUUUUUCCUGUCAAUCAAACUCUGUCUUCUAAAAUGUCAUAUUUUAUAACCCACUUUAAAAUCAAUGAAAAGGUUGAUUUAAAAAGUCAAUAUGCAUUUGCAGUGAUUGAACUUAAAACAGGAGAACGUAUAUUAAUCGGACCCUUUAAGCCAAAAAAUGUUGGUCAGACUGGUAAAUAUCCCGAUAUACAUCACAGCGAGCAUCAAUGCAUAAAUAAUUUAAAACAAGAAAUUAAGGAUAUGAAGAAGAAGAAGAGAAUAAUAAAAGCUAUUUAUAUAUUUACUAAAUAUAGUCCCUGUUUAGGCAUAAAGGGAAAGUUGUGUCCUUGCAUGACCCAGCUAGCUAAUUUCUCUAAAGAUAUGUAUAAUGAAUUUAAUAUAGAUAUUUACAUUACUUUCCAGGACAUUUAUGGUGCGACAGGAAGUACAGCACAAACAAUAAAGAGCUUAGUAAAAACAUCAGAUAAACUGAGUAAAAAUUAUGAAGAAUCUCGUAAUAAAAUAUUGAGUUUAAUGAAACAAGUUAAGAAACAAUAUUCUAGAUCAAAAUUUACAUUUUUCCUGGGAGAUAAAGACCAAGAAAGGUUCAAAAAUGAUAUAAUAAAAGAAAUGAAGGAAAUUAAACCAGAUCUAGAAAUUGAAUUAAAAAUUAAAUUUCCCAGUAAUCCAAUUUUAUUACAUGAGUUUAAAAGUUUCAGAGAAAAACAAAAUAAUAAUAUAAAGACACAACUAAAAAAUUAUAAUUUUACUAGAGAAAUUGCUGAAAAUAUUUGUUCACUUUUUAAUUCUAAGUGGUGUGAAAUAGCUGAUGACAAAUAUAAUGAUUUUAUUUAUGAGAAGCUCAGCGAUUAUUUUAAAAUCUUUGCUGUUGCAUUCGCUUAUAAAGAUAUUAAAGCUUUCACAAACCAUUUUAAUCUGGAAAAGGUACAAUUAUAUGUUUAAAUUUAGAAUAAUUGUGGUGCAUGUGUGUUGUUAUGUAUUUAUCAGUCCAUUGAUGUCACAUUGUGUAAGGGCUCUGUACUGUCUCAUUGAUUUGUGUAUUUCUCUGUAAUCAUCUCCAUCUGAGAGAUGAUGAGAUGUUUCCAUCUACAGACUAGAGACACUGUCAGGCUGCUGAUUCUCUAUUGUAACACUUGUUAAACACCUGUUCAAUGCCAACAAACACACGACUCCUGUAUAUCUAUUCAAUAAAUCUGUUUACUUUCACUUUGUCCA
ensembl:lncRNA